CACUAUCGUUAACUGAAUACAUAGGUUAACGAGGCGAACCGGGGGAACUGAAACAUCUAAGUACCCCGAGGAAAAGAAAUCAACCGAGAUUCCCCCAGUAGCGGCGAGCGAACGGGGAGCAGCCCAGAGUCUGAAUCAGCUUGUGUGUUAGUGGAACGGUCUGGAAAGUCCGACGGUACAGGGUGAUAGUCCCGUACACCAAAAUGCACAGGCUGUGAACUCGAAGAGUAGGGCGGGACACGUGGUAUCCUGUCUGAAUAUGGGGGGACCAUCCUCCAAGGCUAAAUACUCCUGACUGACCGAUAGUGAACCAGUACCGUGAGGGAAAGGCGAAAAGAACCCCGGCGAGGGGAGUGAAAAAGAACCUGAAACCGUGUACGUACAAGCAGUGGGAGCACCUUCGGGUGUGACUGCGUACCUUUUGUAUAAUGGGUCAGCGACUUAUAUUCUGUAGCAAGGUUAACCGUAUAGGGGAGCCGCAGGGAAACCGAGUCUUAACUGGGCGUUAAGUUGCAGGGUAUAGACCCGAAACCCGGUGAUCUAGCCAUGGGCAGGUUGAAGGUUGGGUAACACUAACUGGAGGACCGAACCGACUAAUGUUGAAAAAUUAGCGGAUGACUUGUGGCUGGGGGUGAAAGGCCAAUCAAACCGGGAGAUAGCUGGUUCUCCCCGAAAGCUAUUUAGGUAGCGCCUCGUGAAUUCAUCUUCGGGGGUAGAGCACUGUUUCGGCUAGGGGGUCAUCCCGACUUACCAACCCGAUGCAAACUACGAAUACCGAAGAAUGUUAUCACGGGAGACACACGGCGGGUGCUAACGUCCGUCGUGAAGAGGGAAACAACCCAGACCGCCAGCUAAGGUCCCAAAGUCAUGGUUAAGUGGGAAACGAUGUGGGAAGGCACAGACAGCCAGGAUGUUGGCUUAGAAGCAGCCAUCAUUUAAAGAAAGCGUAAUAGCUCACUGGUCGAGUCGGCCUGCGCGGAAGAUGUAACGGGGCUAAACCAUGCACCGAAGCUGCGGCAGCGACACUAUGUGUUGUUGGGUAGGGGAGCGUUCUGUAAGCCUGCGAAGGUGUGCUGUGAGGCAUGCUGGAGGUAUCAGAAGUGCGAAUGCUGACAUAAGUAACGAUAAAGCGGGUGAAAAGCCCGCUCGCCGGAAGACCAAGGGUUCCUGUCCAACGUUAAUCGGGGCAGGGUGAGUCGACCCCUAAGGCGAGGCCGAAAGGCGUAGUCGAUGGGAAACAGGUUAAUAUUCCUGUACUUGGUGUUACUGCGAAGGGGGGACGGAGAAGGCUAUGUUAGCCGGGCGACGGUUGUCCCGGUUUAAGCAUGUAGGCUGGUUAUCCAGGCAAAUCCGGAUAAUCAAGGCUGAGGUGUGAUGACGAGGCACUACGGUGCUGAAGUAACAAAUGCCCUGCUUCCAGGAAAAGCCUCUAAGCAUCAGGUAACAUCAAAUCGUACCCCAAACCGACACAGGUGGUCAGGUAGAGAAUACCAAGGCGCUUGAGAGAACUCGGGUGAAGGAACUAGGCAAAAUGGUGCCGUAACUUCGGGAGAAGGCACGCUGGUGUGUAGGUGAAGCCCCUGCGGGUGGAGCUGAGACCAGUCGAAGAUACCAGCUGGCUGCAACUGUUUAUUAAAAACACAGCACUGUGCAAACACGAAAGUGGACGUAUACGGUGUGACGCCUGCCCGGUGCCGGAAGGUUAAUUGAUGGGGUUAUCCGUAAGGAGAAGCUCUUGAUCGAAGCCCCGGUAAACGGCGGCCGUAACUAUAACGGUCCUAAGGUAGCGAAAUUCCUUGUCGGGUAAGUUCCGACCUGCACGAAUGGCGUAAUGAUGGCCAGGCUGUCUCCACCCGAGACUCAGUGAAAUUGAACUCGCUGUGAAGAUGCAGUGUACCCGCGGCAAGACGGAAAGACCCCGUGAACCUUUACUAUAGCUUGACACUGAACAUUGAGCCUUGAUGUGUAGGAUAGGUGGGAGGCUUUGAAGCGUGGACGCCAGUCUGCGUGGAGCCAACCUUGAAAUACCACCCUUUAAUGUUUGAUGUUCUAACGUUGGCCCCUUAUCGGGGUUGCGGACAGUGUCUGGUGGGUAGUUUGACUGGGGCGGUCUCCUCCCAAAGCGUAACGGAGGAGCACGAAGGUUAGCUAAUCCUGGUCGGACAUCAGGAGGUUAGUGCAAUGGCAUAAGCUAGCUUGACUGCGAGCGUGACGGCGCGAGCAGGUGCGAAAGCAGGUCAUAGUGAUCCGGUGGUUCUGAAUGGAAGGGCCAUCGCUCAACGGAUAAAAGGUACUCCGGGGAUAACAGGCUGAUACCGCCCAAGAGUUCAUAUCGACGGCGGUGUUUGGCACCUCGAUGUCGGCUCAUCACAUCCUGGGGCUGAAGUAGGUCCCAAGGGUAUGGCUGUUCGCCAUUUAAAGUGGUACGCGAGCUGGGUUUAGAACGUCGUGAGACAGUUCGGUCCCUAUCUGCCGUGGGCGCUGGAGAAUUGAGGGGGGCUGCUCCUAGUACGAGAGGACCGGAGUGGACGCAUCACUGGUGUUCGGGUUGUCAUGCCAAUGGCACUGCCCGGUAGCUAAAUGCGGAAGAGAUAAGUGCUGAAAGCAUCUAAGCACGAAACUUGCCCCGAGAUGAGUUCUCCCUGAGACUUUAAGUCUCCUGAAGGAACGUUAAAGACGAUGACGUUGAUAGGCCGGGUGUGUAAGCGCAGCGAUGCGUUGAGCUAACCGGUACUAAUGAACCGUGAGGCUUAACCUU
rnacentral:rRNA from 1 species